GGAGACAAACAACCAGUCGGCCUCCCCCAGCAGGGGGCAGACCCAAGCCCCAGCCCAAGCCUAAGCCUCAGGUGCCACAGUGCAAGGCUUUGUAUGCCUAUGAUGCUCAGGACACAGACGAACUCAGCUUCAAUGCCAAUGACAUUAUUGAUAUUAUCAAAGAAGAUCCUUCCGGCUGGUGGACGGGUCGACUACGGGGCAAGCAGGGCCUGUUCCCCAACAACUACGUGACCAAGAUCUGAGGCUCCCAGAGACUCUGACGCAUGGGGUGGAGGAGCUCCAGGCACAGACAGGGGAGGGGACACUGGGGGCUCCCCACCUGAUCCACAGUGAGCAAUUGCUUCUCCAAGGCCUGGAGCUAUUCUGGCACCUUCCCCAUGGAAGACACAGAAAAGGCUGGGUUGAAGGACAGCGAGUAUCACUCCAUAAAUGAUCCUAAAAGGUGGCCUGUUCAUUGGAAUCCGGGAGGGUAAAAUAAACACCCACUAAGAUUUAUUUAUUGUAUUUAAACCUGGUGAGAGGACAAGCGAGGUCCACUGGGACCUUGUUGGCUUCUAUCAAAAUAGCACCCCACUGGCUCACCAGGCCCGUGGAAUGGCUGUAGGCAGCCGCUGACAAGUGCCUUUAGUUGAAGAGCACAUUUCUUUCACCCCUCUUUUCCAUAUCUGACACACCUCUCUGCCACCUUCCCUCAGGGAGGACCUGCCCUCUGCAAGCUGGGCUCAGCAUGAGUGUGCACUUCCUGUGCCAAUGCCAAGGGCGGGCGGGCCUGCUGAGCCCACAGGGGCAGAGGGGCGCUGGUUUACACUUUGCCGGGACCACUGGGGCUGCCGGGCAGGACAGGGGCUGGGGGCUGGGCUGUCGGCCUUGCUUUUCUCUAGGUCUUCAGUUGGAAUGUGGCUGGCCCAUGUUGGUUUCGUGUUUAAUGCUUACUUGUACUUAUUACUUUUUUUCAAGCUGUACAUUUAUAAAAACAGAUCAUAUACUGUAUAUAUAAAAAAACCUCGAGAUGAUAGAAACAUGUAUGAAUGUACUACGUAGUAUUCCACUGUACUCAUUCAUAAGGUAGGUUUUAUUACAAAACUCGCACCAGGUACUUACAAAUGUGCUCUGCUCCUUGUCAACUACAGAGUCACUGCUUUCUAGCUCAGUCCCUGCAGACCCUUCUCAACCCUUUCCCUGCAGGUAAUUUUCCUCUGCCCCUCUGCAUCCCUUCCCCUCCCUCCUGAAUAAAUAGAGGAAUCAGUGAACCAC